CCUACGGGGGGCUGCAGUGGGGAAUAUUGGACAAUGGGCGAAAGCCUGAUCCAGCCAUGCCGCGUGUGUGAAGAAGGCCUUCGGGUUGUAAAGCACUUUCAGUGGGGAAGAAAGCCUUGGGGCUAAUACCCUCGAGGAAGGACAUCACCCACAGAAGAAGCACCGGCUAACUCCGUGCCAGCAGCCGCGGUAAUACGGAGGGUGCGAGCGUUAAUCGGAAUUACUGGGCGUAAAGCGCGCGUAGGCGGUCUGAUAAGCCGGUUGUGAAAGCCCCGGGCUCAACCUGGGAACGGCAUCCGGAACUGUCAGGCUAGAGUGCAGGAGAGGAAGGUAGAAUUCCCGAUGUAGCGGUGAAAUGCGUAGAGAUCGGGAGGAAUACCAGUGGCGAAGGCGGCCUUCUGGACUGACACUGACGCUGAGGUGCGAAAGCGUGGGUAGCAAACAGGAUUAGAUACCCGAGUAGUC
rnacentral:rRNA from 1 species